CAAUAAAUCAAAACUUUCAACAACGGAUCUCUUGGUUCUGGCAUCGAUGAAGAACGCAGCGAAAUGCGAUAAGUAAUGUGAAUUGCAGAAUUCAGUGAAUCAUCGAAUCUUUGAACGCACAUUGCGCCCGCCAGUAUUCUGGCGGGCAUGCCUGUUCGAGCGUCAUUUC
rnacentral:rRNA from 8 species